rnacentral:rRNA from 1 species
UACGGGGGGGGCAAGCGUUGUUCGGAAUUACUGGGCGUAAAGGGCUCGUAGGCGGCCAACUAAGUCACACGUGAAAUCCCUCGCUCACCAGGGGAACUGCGUGUGAGACUGGAUGGCUUGAGUUUGGGAGAGGAAUGCGGAAUUCCAGGUGUAGCGGUGAAAUGCGUAGAUAUCUGGAGGAACACCGGUGGCGAAGGCGGCAUUCUGGACCAAUACUGACGCUGAGGAGCGAAAGCCAGGG